GAAUGAAACUCCAUGCCCUCCGGGACACCAUGCCCACUUCUGGGUACUGGCCUUCAGGGGCCUUGGAUGUGGGUGGCAUGGCACUGGCUAAAUGGGGCCCAGGAGGAAGGCAGCAGGACCGUGGGCAUGCAGGCCUAAUGCCAGGGCCAGGGCAGGCUUCAUGUGGGCUUCCUCCUGUCUGGAAUCCUGGAGCCGCACAAUUUCCGACCCAACACCCCGUACUCCAGAGCGACUGGCUCUUAACGGAAGCUGCUGCUGGCAGAUGCUGUGUGCUGUGGACCCACCUGGGGUUCAUGGAGUGGGCCACGGGGCCCAGCCCUAAGCACUGCUGCGCCCAGGGUCGCCGCGCCUCCUGCUGAGGGGUCCCCGUGCCACUGGCUCUCACCAUUGCCCUCGCCUGCCGAUGGCCUCUGCUGCCCAGCCUGGGGCCAGCUCUACCGCCUGAGCCCCCUGCCCCACUCCAGGACUCACCGUACCCCGAUGGGGUAACGUGACACAGGCCCCACACGUCAGA
rnacentral:misc_RNA from 1 species